rnacentral:misc_RNA from 1 species
GUAAUGUACACCAAUGCCAUCUUAGAAAGGAGGCCACGGAAGAAGAUUAACGCUACAUACGCCACCAUUUUAUGAGCAUUUCUACUUGUGCAGUUGAAGAGAGCGCUUAUAUAUGUUACGAGAUUUUUCUAUUUAAUAAAUCAACUGAUUUGAAAACACGCAAAAUGUCACGUUAUCGUGAAUGGGAUCUUUCGUGUAAAGUUUAUGUUGGUAAUCUAGGAAAUAGUGCUAGUAAACAUGAAAUUGAAAGUGCAUUCAGUAAAUAUGGUCCACUUAGAAAUGUGUGGGUAGCUAGAAAUCCACCUGGAUUUGCUUUUGUGGAAUUUGAAGAUCCACGAGAUGCAGAAGAUGCAGUUAGAGGAUUAGAUGGAACACGCUGUUGUGGAACUAGAGUGAGGGUAGAGAUGUCUUCAGGAAGAAGUAGACGUGCAAGUGGUGGACGGAGACCAGGUCCAAGAUACUCCAGGUCCUAUUCAAGAAGUCCACGCAGAUCGCCGAUAAGCCGAUAUUCCAGAUUCUACCAGCGUCAGCUCCUAGCUCUGCUCGUCUCCCCGCCACUACUACUACUGCUACUACUACUACUACUACAGCCACCGUGAAAAAAAGUCUAGCAAUCAAAACUGAACAAAAAAAAAGCCUGCCUGCCCACUAACUUCCCAACCAGUCACCAUCAGUCACCACCAGUCACCGGUAGGAGCCAAGUCGUCCGUCAGUUGACAGUCCGAUGCUGUCCGUCAGUCCGUCAGUCCGUCUGUUCCCCUUCAAAAAGACUUCUUCGGGCUACCUCAACCUCUAGCGGCUAGGAGCAUCGUGAAUCCAUCGAACAGCCAACGCGAUAUGAACAAAUACUUCUGUCAAACUCUCGGCGCGUCAAUCCGUCCGUCCGUCCCAACUUCUACUACUACUACUACUACUACUACUGCUACUACUACUACUCGUCAACCAUCACGUUAAACUUAGCCAACAACGCGACCGCCACUUCUCUUCGACUGAGCAAAGCAAAAUGAUCACCACCUACACACCAUCCCACCACCACCCAAUCAAGUACCACCACCACCAACCACCACUACAUGUUCACAGUUAUCUGGUCAAGGUCCCGUAGCCCGCGCAGGAGAUCUCUGACCCGUAGCCGCAGCCGAGACCGCCGUUCUCGUUCGGAUUCCCGUGACAGACGUUAGGUGCUAAAAGUGUUCGAGAGAAUGGACGGACUAAAUGUGGCGGAAAGAAGGCAAAAGAAAACUGAUUUUAUAUGUACAUAAAAAAAAAAUAAUCGUUACUACACAUACAUAUUCUGUCGAAAUAAUGAUUAUAGUAAGAGAAAAAGACAUUUAUAAGAGAUACAAAAAUAACAUGUACACGUGUUUAAUAUUUAAAUUGUUAAUUUUGUGCACACAAAGCGUGUAUAAAAAUUAAACACAUACAUAUAGAAAGGUACUUGUGAACGACUACACAGGCACAAUUUCAUAUACACAUACACGUACACACAUAAUACAUAUAUUAUGCAGACGCAUACAAAAUUUUUGUGAUGUAAACCAUCGAGUGCAGUGGAUCUUUUAACAAGAUGUGCUCAUUGCUUUAAAGUGUACGAGUGAGACAAAAAAUUCCAUUGCAAUUGAGGACAAUUAUAACGAUCAACAUAAUGGUGAAUGUUUAACUGACGGUAAAAUAUGUCGACUUGGGCCAGAGACGAUUUUGGUGUGAAAUUUUGAAGAGAUAGAAAACCGUCGUUUUAUGUUGUAUUAAUUAUUUUGUACUCUUAUGAAUUUAAGACUUCAAAAUAAAAAUGUAUGCUAUAA